GGGAUUGUGGCUCAGUGGUAGAGCGCUUGAAAGGUAUUUAAAAAAAAAAAAAAAAUGUAAAUUAGAGGUUUUGUUCCAUUUGGAAAAAAUGUGUUUUCAUUCAUUUUCUUUUAACCCUGAAAGAAUUUUUUUUUUGGGGGGGUGCUUGGGUCAAAUCCAAGACAUCAUUCCCA
rnacentral:tRNA from 1 species